rnacentral:lncRNA from 1 species
CCCCUGAAUGAUGGCACUGGCCUCCAUUUUCCUGGCCAUAUCUACUAUGGCAUGGAAGCUCUCCCUGUCCACUGACUGAAUCAAGGAGGAAUACCUGGAAUGAAGUUUCAUGACAUACCUCCUUGACUUCUUCGAAUCUGUAUCCAGACUCUGCCCAGCAAAAGGCAACAGCUCCAAGAAUCUGUCGGUGUACUCCUCUACACUCAUUUCAUCUGUCUGCCUCAAUUGCUCAAACUCUAUCAUCUUCAAUUCUCUUGAACUGUCAGGGAAAGCCCAUCCUGCAAACUCGUUUGCAAACUCCUCCCAUGAUAAGCUUUCCACCCUCGGGCUCA